rnacentral:rRNA from 1 species
UACGUAGGGUGCGAGCGUUGUCCGGAAUUACUGGGCGUAAGGAGCUCGUAGGUGGUUUGUCGCGUUGUCCGUGAAAACUCACAGCUUAACUGUGGGCGUGCGGGCGAUACGGGCAGACUGGAGUACUGCAGGGGAGACUGGAAUUCCUGGUGUAGCGGUGAAAUGCGCAGAUAUCAGGAGGAACACCGGUGGCGAAGGCGGAUCUCUGGGCCUGUCCUGACGCUCAGGCGCGAAAGCUAGGGGAGCAAACAGG